UCACGUGAUCUUUUCCUUAACAUUUCAAUGAGACAAUAAAAAUUGUCAAAAAACCUAGGCGUGUUACGGGUUAAAAAUAAAUAUUCAGGGAUAUUCUUCAGAAAAGUCUCGAGAAAGUCAUCUGUCUAAUGACUUUUUAAGAUUUGAGUGGUCCCCAUUCUAGGAAAACUUUGGCUGCAUAAAGCUCUCUUUCGAAGCUUCUACAUUGAUGACACAACAGCUGUUAUGAUGAGAUGUCUAGAUUGAUGUGACUAUUAUCCAAUGUACUGAGUGUUUUUAAUCUUAAUUUUCUCUUAAGCCGUGUUUUAUUGAGGACAUCAAGAAUAGUUGGACCUACGGUGGAAUUUCUCCCUCUGGCAACUUCACUAUGACUAAUAACAAAAAUCUGUGGCAUUAGUAUUGUUCCCUAGGAAUCUCUCCAAUGUAAUGAGCUACAAUGAAGUGACUAUUUUUGUCCUGUGGAUAUUUGGAAGGCUGUUUCUGCAAGUGAAGAAUAUUGCCGUUUAUUGAUUAUUUUUGAUAAACUUGCUAUGCAUGCAACUUUUAUUUGAUUCCAACUAUUAGUUUUUACAUUGUAGAAUAGUUAUCAAGUGUCAGUGAUACUGCAGCGUCAAGAUAUAUGAAAUAAACAGGGUUUGUAAUUUUAACAUCUAUAGGGCGGCCAUUUUGAAUAUAAUUAUUAACCCGUAACGCGCAUCAACCAUUAAUUAUCCGAGUGUUUCCAAUCCCUGUAUACUGUAUCUAUGGUUGGGACAUAGUAUACAAAGCUAUACUUGUGUGCAGUGUAUGUACAUAUGAUCAUGUUAAUAGUAUGAAGUGACUACUGAGGUAAAUUAAAAGCAUUUUCCCUGCAUUUGUAUUGAGUCAGUAGUCAGUGCACCAAUUUUGAUAAAAUUUAAGUCUUAAAUACAAUUACAUAUAUGUACUUGUAAUUAAAGGUCUGGUUUUGUACUAUCAUUUGUUACUUUUUAAUUUUUUAUUCUAGAGUCUCCAUAUUUUAUAAUUACUCCACAUCACAUUGUAUCAGUAAGAUAUAAUAAUGCUAUUACAUUAAACUGUUCAUCCGGUGGAGUACCUUUGCCAAACAUCACUUGGUUCAAGGAUGGUAUAGUUAUACCUACUGAUCAGUACACCAAUAGUAAUGAAUCAGAUACACUCAUUACUAUGCUCACUGUUGUGGGAUCAUUAACUUCACAUGGAUAUUAUACUUGUCAAGCAGUCAAUAAUCUAGUUGAGAGGAGAGUCAUAAACACUACUGUGAAUGUAAUUGUUAAUGAGCCACUUAGUUAUGAUGAGAGUGAUCCUCUUUCAACCCAUAUAACUUUGAAGCAGUCAGAUACUUUUACUGUGCACUGUAGCUUCUCUGGACUUCCUUUGCCUGUCAUAUUCUGGUUUAGUCAUAACGGUUUUCUCAGUAACAACAGUAGAGUCUCCAUUACUACUGAUAUUCAAGAGAUUACUGUAACUUCAACCCUGACAAUAAAAAAUGUCAAUAAAUCAACUGAUGAAGGAUUUUAUUUUUAUAUUGGCUUUCAAUCUCACAAGAAUUAUUUUAAUCACACAUACCUAAAUAUUCAAUAACUUUAUAUAUUUAGUUAAAAGUUUAAGUUUAUCUUUUAGUUUGUAUAGUACCUGUGCUUGUUCACUAUUGUUACAGUGUUAUGUUAUUAUUCCUCA
rnacentral:lncRNA from 1 species